UAGAAAGUGGUGUAGAGGAAGCACCUGGAGCUUUGAUCUCCUGAGUAUGGGUUCAACUCCCUUCUUUCUAG
rnacentral:tRNA from 1 species